UGAAAUGUCCCAGUUUGUUUAUUUAUGUUAAAUACACCAUAUGAAAACCACACGUCUCAACCAAAUCUGCAUAAACUUCAUGAACUUGAAUUUUCUCAUUAAAAAGUGUCUUGGGAAAAACAUUUAAUAGUUGAAUGGAAGUAAUGAAAUAGGCAUUUGUGAACAUCAUAUAGCCUACACAGUACAAACACAAUCUGAAACAGACUCGUUAGGCCUUAUAUUUCACACAAUGUCUGGAUGCAAUAUUCUACCCAGGAAUAUUCAACACUAAAAUCUGUUACUCUUGUUAUUCCAAAUGCAUCUGUGGCUAUUUUCCACUGACAAUGAAAAUGUAUCUUUGUCUUUAAUGCAGGAUUCGAUCUAAAGGUCUAAUGAGUGAAAAGGCUACAUUCUAUGUUAUGGUGUUUCUGCUGGUGUAUCCUGAGGUAGCUCUUCUCUGAAAACCUCUUCCCGCAGUGCGUACAGGCAAACAGCAUUUCUACCGUGUGGACCUUCAGGUGCAUCUUCAGCUUGUGCUGGUGGGAGAACCUCUUCUCACACUGGGUACAGCUGUAUGGUUUCUCCCCUGUGUGGACCCUCUGGUGCCUUUUCAGGCUGGACGAGUGGGAGAAACUGACCUGGCAUAGGUGGCAGCUGAAUGGUUUCUCCCCUGUGUGAAUCCUCUGGUGAAUCUCCACCUGUUUGGGGAAACUGAAGGCUUUCCCACAGAACGAACAUGGGAAGCGCUUCUCUUUGGCACUACCGCCUUUACUGAUAGCGUCUCUACUACUGUCAUUUGUCAAUGGGCUUGUGUAGCUAUUUAGUGUUGAGGCACUGGCAUUGUCUGAGGUCUGGUUUAACAGGAGAGUGUGAGGAGGAUGAAGGCCAGGGAGUGUCUGUGUUGUUGCAGGGUCCAUGUUCCAGUGGAUAGAUCCUAUAGAAGGCAGGCUGAAGGCAGCACCUGUUAGGGGGUUAAGCUGAGGCACCAUCAGUCUCUCUGAAUCACAACUAUAGGAGCAGGACGGAGCAUCGCUAGUAGAGUCUGUGUCUGUUCUCUCCUGCUGCAUACUGACACCGCUCCGUCCCCGCAGACCAAAUCUACGCCUGGUUUCAGCCAGUCUGUUGUCAUGGAGACUAAGUUCAGAUGUUGCUUUGUGUUUGACUGUCUGUUUCUGGUUGUGGUUAACAGUGUUGUUCUCCAGCCCAGAGUUGAGGACGCUGUCCCAUCCACUGACCUCCACUAUGUCACCUCUGGUCUUGGCCUGCUCAGUGAUGUUGUCACCUGAGCCCUUGGUUGCACCUGUCUGGGUAUCCAAGAUGGCCACCCAGUCUCCUCUGUUAGCCUCCAGCCAACCACCU
ensembl:lncRNA